UUCAUAAUAAUGGUAUCUACCUAGCAAGCAUUUUAAUUAAAUAAUUUAUUUAUUUAAAAUGAGUUAGUUGGUUUAUUAUAAGCUUCAACUCAAUGCUAUAGCUCUUGUAUUUUUUGUGUGAAAGAAUCUGUUAAGCUCAGGAGGGAUAGCGCCAUAGAAUGUCUUCUUUUUUUGGUUCCAUUUUAUUGAUUGAUCUUCUCUUGCGCUAUCCAUCCUGAGUUUCAUGGCUUCUUCAUACUCUCUUCCAUCUCUUGGUUCAUCAUCCUGCAUAAUUUAAGACUCUCAAGCUUCACCUUGGCUUCAAUCAUUGACCAUGAAGAAGAAGAAAGUGGCAGAAAUGGAAUGUCACAAGCCAAUGGUUGUCAAGUUUAUUGCAAGAUCCUUUUUCUCUCUUUUGAUUUAGUACUUCAAAAGUUUCCACUUUUUCACUGUAUUUCAAAUAAUUGGUAGCACCAUUUAUGUUGCACUUCUCAGGUAAAAGCAGAAGAUCUAGUUAUAUGA